rnacentral:rRNA from 1 species
AACGAACGUUGGCGGCGUGGAUUAGGCAUGCAAGUCGAACGCGAAUCCCUGGGCAACUGGGGAGGAGAGUGGCGAAAGGGGCAGUAAGGCGUGGGUAACCUACCCUCCGGGCCGGGAUAGCUUCGGGAAACUGAAGGUAAUACCGGGCGACGCAGCGAGAUCGCAUGGUCUUGCUGCCAAAGGUCCGCCGCCGGGGGAGGGGCUCACGUGGUAUUAGCUAGACGGCGGGGUAACGGCCCACCGUGGCAAAGAUGCCUAGCAGGUGUGAGAGCACGACCUGCGCCACUGGCACUGAGACACUGGCCAGACACCUACGGGUGGCUGCAGUCGAGGAUCUUCGGCAAUGGGCGCAAGCCUGACCGAGCGACGCCGCGUGUGCGAUGAAGGCCUUCGGGUUGUAAAGCACUGUCGAGGGGGAGGAAGCCGCAAGGUUGACCUAUCCCUGGAGGAAGCACGGGCUAAGUUCGU